CCCUGCUCCCGGAGGGAUGGGGAGAAGAAUCAAAAGAAGUAUAACUCCCACAAGUUGAGAUAAGAACGGUCCAGUAACUAAGGUAUAAUACAAAACCACUGCUGCUACCACCAGUAGUAAUAAUGGUAAGGGAAAUAACAAGGG